GACGAACGCUGGCGGCGUACUUAACACAUGCAAGUCGAACGGAAAGGCCCUGCUUUUGUGGGGUGCUCGAGUGGCGAACGGGUGAGUAACACGUGAGUAACCUGCCCUUGACUUUGGGAUAACUUCAGGAAACUGGGGCUAAUACCGGAUAGGAGCUCCUGCUGCAUGGUGGGGGUUGGAAAGUUUCGGCGGUUGGGGAUGGACUCGCGGCUUAUCAGCUUGUUGGUGGGGUAGUGGCUUACCAAGGCUUUGACGGGUAGCCGGCCUGAGAGGGUGACCGGCCACAUUGGGACUGAGAUACGGCCCAGACUCCUACGGGAGGCAGCAGUGGGGAAUAUUGCACAAUGGGCGGAAGCCUGAUGCAGCAACGCCGCGUGCGGGAUGACGGCCUUCGGGUUGUAAACCGCUUUCGCCUGUGACGAAGCGUGAGUGACGGUAAUGGGUAAAGAAGCACCGGCUAACUACGUGCCAGCAGCCGCGGUGAUACGUAGGGUGCGAGCGUUGUCCGGAUUUAUUGGGCGUAAAGGGCUCGUAGGUGGUUGAUCGCGUCGGAAGUGUAAUCUUGGGGCUUAACCCUGAGCGUGCUUUCGAUACGGGUUGACUUGAGGAAGGUAGGGGAGAAUGGAAUUCCUGGUGGAGCGGUGGAAUGCGCAGAUAUCAGGAGGAACACCAGUGGCGAAGGCGGUUCUCUGGGCCUUUCCUGACGCUGAGGAGCGAAAGCGUGGGGAGCGAACAGGCUUAGAUACCCUGGUAGUCCACGCUGUAAACGGUGGGUACUAGGUGUGGGGUCCAUUCCACGGGUUCCGUGCCGUAGCUAACGCUUUAAGUACCCCGCCUGGGGAGUACGGCCGCAAGGCUAAAACUCAAAGGAAUUGACGGGGCCCCGCACAAGCGGCGGAGCAUGCGGAUUAAUUCGAUGCAACGCGUAGAACCUUACCUGGGUUUGACAUGGAUCGGGAGUGCUCAGAGAUGGGUGUGCCUCUUUUGGGGUCGGUUCACAGGUGGUGCAUGGCUGUCGUCAGCUCGUGUCGUGAGAUGUUGGGUUAAGUCCCGCAACGAGCGCAACCCUUGUUCACUGUUGCCAGCACGUUAUGGUGGGGACUCAGUGGAGACCGCCGGGGUCAACUCGGAGGAAGGUGGGGAUGACGUCAAGUCAUCAUGCCCCUUAUGUCCAGGGCUUCACGCAUGCUACAAUGGCUGGUACAGAGAGUGGCGAGCCUGUGAGGGUGAGCGAAUCUCGGAAAGCCGGUCUCAGUUCGGAUUGGGGUCUGCAACUCGACCUCAUGAAGUCGGAGUCGCUAGUAAUCGCAGAUCAGCAACGCUGCGGUGAAUACGUUCCCGGG
rnacentral:rRNA from 1 species